CACGUAGUUAGCCGUGGCUUUCUGGUUAGGUACCGUCAAGGUACCGGCAGUUACUCCGAUACUUAUUCUUCCCUAACAACAGAGCUUUACGACCCGAAGGCCUUCAUCGCUCACGCGGCGUUGCUCCGUCAGACUUUCGUCCAUUGCGGAAGAUUCCCUACUGCUGCCUCCCGUAGGAGUCUGGGCCGUGUCUCAGUCCCAGUGUGGCCGAUCACCCUCUCAGGUCGGCUACGCAUCGUGGCCUUGGUGAGCCGUUACCUCACCAACUAGCUAAUGCGCCGCGGGCCCAUCUGUAAGUGACAGCCGAAACCAUCUUUCAGCAUUUCCUCAUGAGAGGAAAUGCAUUAUUCGGUAUUAGCCCCGGUUUCCGGAGUUAUCCCGAUCUUACAGGGCAGGUUGCCCAGUGUUACUCACCCGUCCGCCGCUAAUCUUCGGGAGCAAGCUCCCGAAGAUCCGCUCGACUUGCAUGAUUAGGCACGCCGCCAGCCGUGUCCUGCGCAGGAUA
rnacentral:rRNA from 1 species